UACGUAGGGUGCAAGCGUUGUCCGGAAUUAUUGGGCGUAAAGAGCUCGUAGGCGGUUUGUCGCGUCUGCUGUGAAAACUCGGGGCUCAACUCCGAGCUUGCAGUGGGUACGGGCAGACUAGAGUGCGGUAGGGGAGACUGGAAUUCCUGGUGUAGCGGUGGAAUGCGCAGAUAUCAGGAAGAACACCAAUGGCGAAAGCAGCUUUCUGGGACGGUACUGACGCUGAGACGCGAAAGCGUGGGGAGCGAACAGG
rnacentral:rRNA from 1 species